UAAACUUCCGGCCUUGGCUGUAGAUCCUGUUCUACCGUCCAGACUGGGUUUAGCUAAACUGCGUGUGCAGGUUGGCUCGGGCUUUGAGCGACUGUGCGUCGCAGCGAAUGGCUAGGGACCUGAUCGGGCCGGCACUGCCGCCAGGCUUCAAGGAGCACGCGACGGUUGAGGACGAGGAGCGGGACCCGAGCCCGGUUGCAGGGCCAGCUCUGCCCCCUAAUUACAGAAGCUGCAGUUCAGACUCCUCAGACAGCGACGAGGACAGUAGUUCUUUAUCUGAAGAAGAUGACACUGGCCCAACUGCAAAAAAGCAGAGGCAAAAUCAAGACAGAGAUGACGAUGAUGACGAUGGUGGGUUUUUUGGACCAGCCCUUCCUCCUGGGUUUAAGAAGCAGGAUGACUCUCCUCCCAGGCCUUUAAUAGGUCCCGCAUUGCCACCUGGUUUCAUCAAGUCUUCACAGAAGAAUGACACAGGCAGAGAUGGUCCAGGGCAAGGGCCAUUUUUCUUCAACUCCGAGGAAGCAGAGAGCGGUGAAGAUGAGGAUAUUGUUGGACCAAUGCCUGCAAAAGGACCAGUUAACUAUAGCGUAACAGCAGAGUUUGAAAAAAGGGCCCAGAGAAUGAAGGAAAAAUUGACCAAAGGAGAUGAUGAUUCAUCUAAGCCAAUUACAAGAGAGUCGUGGAUGACUGAACUUCCACCGGAAAUGAAAGACUUUGGUCUUGGGCCAAGAACCUUUAAGAGAAGAGCAGAUGACAAAUCUGGAGACCGCUCGGUCUGGACAGACACCCCAGCUGACCGGGAAAGGAAAGCUAAGGAAAUACAAGAAGCAAGGAAGUCAUUCAGUAAGAAAGAUGAAGAGAACAUAUUGUCAGGAAGGGAUAGAAGACUGGCUGAGCAAGUAUCCUCAUACAAUGAGUCAAAAAGACCCGAAUCCCUCAUGGACAUUCAUCAUAAGAAGUUAAAGAAUAAGGCUGCUGAAGAUAAAAACAGGCACCAGGAGAGAAUACCAUUUGACCGUGAUAAAGACCUCAAGGUUAAUCGGUUUGAUGAGGCUCAGAAAAAAGCCCUAAUAAAGAAAUCCAGAGAACUGAACACCCGGUUUUCACACGGCAAAGGCAACAUGUUUUUAUAAGUAAGUGUGCUUCAGUGAGGUACACUUACACCGAUCAGCCUGAACUCCUCAGAAUAUACCUUUGCCGAUGGGAGGCAGUCUGAAGGAUGCUAUUCUCAUCUGCUGUCGUCCGUGUGAAGUCGAGGAUUCUUGUCUUCAUGGUCUCACCAAAGCCGUCUGCAUCUUGAAACUUCACUCGGGAUCAUCUGAUUCAUAUAUGUACAUAGCACUUCGUAUCUGGAUUACUGGAAUAUUAAUUCUGAAUGGCUUUUUUAAAUAAUGAAAUAACCACUGGAAAUGGGGAAUGUUUGCUCACAACCGCCCAGUGGGAGUAUUAUAUGCUUUAGUCUGUAAGCAGUGCCUCUCCAGCUGUUAAACAGACACUCCUAAAUAAGGAGAUAAAAGCUAAAUGCUAAUUCUGUGUGUUUCUUGCAGGUUUUCUUGUGCAGCUGACUUUGUAUUCCAGUUUUCACGAAGCAUAGCAUUUUAAUGGAAAAUUGUUUUGAUUCCCAAAUCAUGUAACCUUUAUAAAAAUUGGGCAAACUGUUCAAAUUGCAAUGUAAAGUAUUUCUUAGCAGUGGCAGACUUUUAGUACUGGUAAAUAGCCCAUUCAAGAACUGCUGCUUCUUAAAAUCAGAAUUAUUUUGAGUAAAUUGAAGAGGUUUCUUGUCCACAUAGAUUUGUACAGGCCUAACCUUUGGCUAAAGUGAGUGGGUUUCUGCAUUUAAAACUUUAUACAAGAGUAUUAAUUCUGACUAGGCAUGGUGAUGAAUGCCUUUAAUCCUAGCACUUGGGAGGCAGAGGCAGGCAGAUCUCUGUGAGCUCAAGGCCAGCCUGGACUACAGAGUGAGUUCCAGGACAGCCAGGGCCAUGUAGAGAGACCCUGUCUCAAAAAAAUAAAAAAGUAACUUUUAUUUUUAUAUAUAUAUAUAUUAAUAUAUACAUAUAAUUUCUGGACAUUCAUUGGCCUUACUUUCUCAGUGGAAGAAGACAGGAAUAUCUGUAAUAUGCUUACUGUCUCUUAUGGCCUCAGAUAAAGGACAGCCCACCAGAUAAAUGUAUUAUUUCACUGACACCUGGAGCCAGUGCUCUUUUCUGUCAUCCAGAUGGCAGUUGCAGUAAAGUAUACGCCAUUUCCAGGGGGCUCAGCCACAUGGAGACACAAAUCCCAAUUAAUGUGGACCAUAAAAAAUGAAGUAGCUGAGUGUAUUACAGAAAGGUGCACCUCGUGUCAUCCCAUCUUCCCAACAGCAGAGGCCUGCUCGCCCAGACAGUCAGAAACAGCAGAGGCCUGCUCGCCUAGACAGUCAGAAACAGCAGAGGCCUGCUCGCCUAGACAGUAAGAAACAGCAGAGGCCUGCUCGCCUAGACAGUCAGAAACAGCAGAGGCCUGCUUGCCUGGACAGUCAGAAACAGCAGAGGCCUGCUCCCCUGGACAGUCAGAAACAGCAGAGGCCUGCUCGCCCGGACAGUCAGAAACAGCAGAGGCCUGCUCGCCCAGACAGUCAG